AGUGUCCUGCUCUGACAUGUGAAGACCUACCUGCUUCCCCUUUGCCUUCUGCCAUGACUGUAAGUUUCCUGAGCCCUCCCAGCCAUGCUUCCUGUACCGCCGUGGGAAAUGCAUGCUGUAAAUACCUGACUGAUCUUACAGUGAGGAGAAUAUAGGAUGGAAUGGAUAUAAGAGCAAUCCCAUUAAAGACUACCUGUGGCUAUUAGUCACCUUCCAAACAAAAGAUGCUGAGUUCUCUAAAUUGCUUUAUGUGAGAUGUAACACAAAACCACAUGUUCACCACUACAGGAAUAGUGUGGAAAACCAGGUGGUAAUAAGGGUCUGCCAACCAAGACAAGGAACUCCAGAAAACUAUUAUUGAUGAUCACAGCAAAACCUCUGCAGAAAUUUCACAUCUGCUGAAGCCCAUGGCAUUUGCCUAGUACUGCCAAAGGAAAAAAUAAUGUCUUCUGGUCUCCAUUCCACCUUCAAAAUCAUGCUCCAGUGCACCUUGUUGUUAGAACAUAAAUUGUAUUCUAUUCCACAGAGUCAAGAGAAUCUAGAGAAUUUGAUUUCUAAAUUCCCAGCUCCUUCAAAACAGAAGAAACCUUAGAAGGGUUUUGCUGCUUGCAAAAUGAAAUUAAACCUGCACACUUAUUUCUGUUCUCUUAAUAAAGACUUUGAAGAGAUUAAUUCAUGAUACCUGCAAUGUUUCUCAGAUUUCCUUGGACAAUCUCAAAUCAUUCAUACCUGUGCCUCUCCCUCACUUUUCAGUUGCCCUGCUCCCAAACACCUUCACUCUCAUCCACUUUUUUUUCUCUUUGUCCUACUCCCUUCCCUUCAUUCCUUUAUGCUACUCAACUUAAAAAUGAAAAGCAAACAAAUGAACAACAACAACAACAAAAACAUUGAACAAGCUUUGGAUUUCCCACUGGAUGUAAGCUUCAGGCUUUUAAGAAAUUGUAUGAAAAUUUCCUAAGCCCACUCAAUGUGUUUGUCUUGUCUUUUAAGUUCUUAGGUGUUUAUGAGAUCCUGGUCACUAUGUAUAUCUAAUCAAAACUGACUUUUUUUAAUAUAGGACCUAGUUCCUUUCUUUUGUUUACUCAUAACAGCACUCUUGAAAGUCACUAUCAGCGCAAAACGUUUGGCCUGACUGGGUGAGGGAUACGUAACAACAUCAUAUGGCAAAGAUAAGAUUAGAUAUUCAACACUUCUUUUUAUUUGGCCACCCAUACCACUGAGAACUUCUUUCUCUUGUCCUUCUCUUCCCCUGUUUUCACCUUCCUUUCUUCCCAACUCCUAAUCACUCUUCGUUUCUUAUGCAGAACGUAAGUUUCAUAUCUCCUUUUAGUUUCAUGAUCUCCUUUUACACUACAGUAGGUGCAGGGAGAUAAGGAGCAUCUCACUUUCCCUUCCCAAGGAGACCUAUGAAGAAGUAUUUUAUUAAAUGAAAAAUCAUCUACUCUGAACAGCAGUUAUGUCAUUUUCAUAGGGACAGAAGUAGUGGCCAAUAUUGUUAUUCUAAAUGGAGCAAUUUAUUUUGUACUAUGCUAUUCAAAGAAAGACCAGUGCUUUCAUUCUCAGUUCUUAACCUCAUAAAAAGGUGAACUGUAUAAUUAGUACAGAAGCAAGCUGAAAACCAGAAUGCACAGAGAAACAGACUAUUGUUAUUACUAGUUUGAUAAUCUGGCAUAGAACCCAGAGUAACACAGGCUUCCUUAGUGAAGGCUUCAGUGAUGUUUGAAUGAGUAGAGGAAUUGCAAUCCUCCCUUCCUGAGCCAUGUUUGAAUUAUUUCUAUGGAGAAAUGGUGGGUGAAGUGGAUAAGGGUGCAGAGCCUGGACUCAGCCUGCCUGAAUUUGAAUCUUUUCACUGGUACUUAAUUGUCAUGCAAUCUAGAAAAUCUGGAUGUAGGACAACUUCGCUAACAUUUCUAAGACUCUGUUUCAUGGAAAAGAAAUGAAACACAGACAAAAAUAUUCCCUCCCUCAUAGCUGUUGAAAGGAUUAAAUAAGGAGAUAUGUGUAAAGCAUUCAACAACACACACAGAUAUGUGCAUUAAUGCACACAUGCUUUUAUAAAACGCAAGUUACCAAAACAAAAAAACUCAUUGUCAUUCCAGGCUCCUUUCUCCGCUCAGCCUCCAUAUCCAGUUGUUCACAGCAUUUAGCCAAUUAUACCUUUUAAAUACCUUCCAAAUCUUUUUCCUCCCUACUUUAGUUUAAACCCUCAAAAACAUCUCCUGCCUAUACUGUGGCAAUCAUAUCUUAACUCAUUUUUAUUAUUAUGGUUGUGUCAUACCUCCACCCACCCCACAUUCCCAUUGAUUACUUACACCACAGCCAGUGUUCUUCCUGUACAGAAAAUGUGAUGUCUAACUCUAAUUUAAAUGCCUUCACUGUUUCUGAAAUACCUACAGAGUAAACUUUAAUCUAUAUAUUUUAGUAAAUAUGAACCUUAUCAUCCAAAUUUGCCAACAUCUACAACAGUGAGCAUCAAACUGCAGAGUGUAUCACACUUUCCAGGGAUAUUGCAAAAAAAUGCAAAUUUUAGAUCCUUACUCCAUGAACAGCCUCAUACGCUAAGUCUCAAUUAAGACCAUCAGUCUGAAUUUUAUCACUUAAUCCAGGAAAGUCUGAAGCAAGAUUCCUGUGGUCAUCCCAUAAGACCUGUGGCUUCACCCUGUAGCCACAUAGUCACCCAUUUCUUCACUACACCCACUCUCUGUCUGCCCUAUACAACCAGUGGGUCUUCAAAUACAAUAUAGUUUAAAUGUCUUCAUGCCUUUACUACUAUUUCUACUUCUUGGAAAGUCCCCCCACCCAUUCUGUCUAGCUAAUUCUCAUUCAUCUUUCAGCAUUUCAUUCAAGGUCACUUCUAUGCGAGGAUAUCCCUAGUCCACUCAUGGGGCUGUCUAUCUUCUCCUGCAUUUCAGUAAGCUCUUGUACUAACCUCUACUUGUGCUUGUUGCAUUGGGUUACAAGCGAAUUUUAAAUGUUAUUCCUCCCUACAAGACUAUGAAAUUAUGGCAUGCAGGGAAAACUUCCUACUUAUUUCUGUGUUGCCAUUAUUCAGUACCUGGCACAUGCUAGGUGCCCCACAAAUAAAUAUUUGUUAACUGAAUGAAUAAACUAAUAAAUAUUAGAAAGUCACUUACUUGGGAUUAUUUAAAAAUUGAGGUCACCUCCACAUGACAAGAUAUUUCUUCCACAAGCUUUCUGCUCUUAUUCAAACAACCAUCAUUGGAUACCAUCUCAAAUCUUUACAAGACUAAGAGCUAAAUGUUAUUAACUUUAUACUUAAAACAUCUGACAAAAUUGAAGGCUGUUUUCUAUUUAUUUGAUUAGUUGGUUUAACUGAAUAAGAAAUUACAAGACCCUGAUGAGAUAGAACGUGGAAAGGUGUUUUACUUUUCCUUUAUUCCCUUUUAAAUACGAUGGCUGGAAUAACCCAGGUGUCACCUGAAAUGUUGAUGACUUUGCCUGAAAGUGGAAUUCUCUAACCAUCUGCAGCUGGUGCAAUUCAGUUGACUGUGGGAGUGGAUGAUCUAUAGGUUUACUUGACACUUGUAACCAAGCUCUGUCGGCACAAUAGAGUGACCAUUUAAACAACGGCUAGCAUUCUUUCCAACUUUUUACAUUUUCACUGAAAGGAGAUAUUAAAGACUAAGAGUGUUGAACUUUACCUGAGUUUUGUGCUCCUAGAAAACAGCAAUGAUUAAGAAAUCCUUGUAUCCUUUUGUAUUUUAGGAAAUUGCUUAUUACAAAGAACCAUCCUUUCUCAUGUGAUUUAUGUAAGACUCCCAGAUGACCUCCUUGUUUUUCUAUGACAAAGCCAGAUGCAGAUCCUCCAAAUGUUCAUUAUUUGUCUUCUAAAUGAUUAGCUAAAGUUUUUACCCCCACUCACCAAUCUGGAAAAAAUGCCUGCUAAUUUGACUUGCCAUAACUGUCUACAGGCUUCUCUGCUUUCUUAGGCUUCUGAAUUGGGCCCGCCCUGGAGCUUAAUAAGCAAGCACUGAGAGCUUAUUUAUGCAUUAGAACAUGGAAAAACUCCAUUUAAAACCCCUUCUCAAGAUUCAGCUGGUUGUCAGAAUGACACAUCUGCUCAGCUAUCCACUCAUGCCCACCUGCUUAUCCAGCUUCCCAUACUCAUGCACCAAGGCAUCAGGGUAGAUAAAGAGGUAAGUCAUGAUUUUCUUCUUGUCAAAAGGCACUGGUCUGCAAUAAUUUCUACUUUAGAAUCAUCAUAGAAUAGUCUUUAUGACAAUUUAUUAAGUGCAGAGGGAUGAGAAGAGUAAAAAAGCGCUGAUCAUACACUGAGUAGGGUUGCUCCUAGGGGCUAAAGAAUGUGCUAGGAUUUUACUUCUCAAUGAAAUUGGAGGAAACCAGAAUUAAAAGGUAACUAAUAAUGUAUUUCUUAAAUAAGGUAACCAUGGAUCAAGUUUGAGAUUUAGUUAUGGGAACCACUAAACACCCAAAAGUAGAUUACCAAUUAUCAGACUUUUCUUAAUUUUAAUAGGUAGAAGCACAAGGCAUUAGGCACUUCAAUUUCUGGGCAUAUUACCCUAGGAAUUGCAGAGAGAAAAAUGCAGAAAAUUAUAGAGGAGAAUUGUCUAAUACAAAUGUCACACUGGCUUUUAAAAAAUUGAUUUACUUACCUUCAGUUGGGUCCUGAAAUACAGCUGUAGGCGCUGAAAGAUUUUUGUGAGAAGGGUAAAAUCUUAGGCAGCUCUACUUAGCAUGAUUGAUUGUUUUUUUUCUCAAUUGCAUGAUUCUCAAUUAGAGUUCUUUAUCCAGGGUAUUUGUUAAUUGAGAUAUCACUGUACAAGGCAGCAUGGCAUGCAGUGUAUUUAUUUUAAAAAUGGCAUUGUUCUUUGGCUUGAAAUUCUACUACAUAAUACCAGAAUGUUUAGGUUUUGUAAGUUUACAAAUCGAAUGUUUUAUUAUGUCCCAAUUCUAAGCAUGUUAUAGAAAUCAUUAUCUUUUGCCUGCAUAGUCUAAUCACAUUGCUAAGAAAUAUAGAUGUGAUUAGAAACACUUUGAUAUUCAAUGUAACACAAUGACUUUGAAAAGUGAUAUUUAUGGCUGAUAAUAUGUAUGCUUCAUUAUUCUCUAUCUGAGCUAUCAUUGUCUUAAAGAAUGGAGAUAGCUAUCCUUAUAGUAAUAAGGAUAGAAUAUUCAAUAAAAAUUAACAAUAAAACAAGAAAAUAACACUUCCCAAAUUCCACCAUUACAACAGUGGAUGACUUAUAAAAAAUAAGAAUAUCAAGAGAAGGUAAUAGAAAACUGUUAGCAAUUAAAAUUUAAUUAUAAAAAGGCUAGUAGUACUAGGGUAGGGGUAGAAAUACUGAAAAGCCAUCAUCUGGCACAUAUGAUUAAUCAUGCAGCAUUUUACCAAGCACUCAUCACUUAAUCAAAAACAGAACAGUUACUUUUACACAACUAUUAAUAUUAGAAUAGCUCCAAAUUCAUAUUAAGAGGGAUUCACAACUGCUAGGUAGAAUAGUACUCCUGUUCUGCAUUAUGCUAUUUUUAUUUGGAAAGUGUUUUCUCUUAAUUACAUUGGCUAUCCACCUAUAUCUUCCUAUUUAGGAAGAUUAUUUUUCUUUUAAGACAAGAGUUUCUAUGAAAUUUUCUGGACCUAAUGCACUGAAAUCAAAUUUGACUAUUUCCAGUAUAGACUACUCCUCCUCACAGAAUCUUAGUCAACUUCAGUUCUUCUACCCACUUCCUCGACUCUCUUUUUAAAAUUCUAUUUAUAAAAUAUGGCCAUGGAAGAAACAACACCAUGUUUCAAAACAUAUUGCUGAUCUUAUAGGACACCACCCCAACCUCACAAGGUGUUGCCUCCGACAUGACACUGUAGUCAAUUAAUGGGCCAUUUCUACAUCUGAUAAGGCCAGCUGCAACAUGGUAAUUGAGAAACAAUGAAUCCUAUAGUUUUAAGCCAUUGCUAUGCUUCUUUUUCUGUAAAAUUAGUUAUUUUGUCAGGAGCAAUGUUUUUUAGCGUAUUAUACUGUAAAUCAGACAUUUUAUGAGUCCACAUAUGGAAGCAUUGCAAGUAUGGAAGCCAUAUUCGUAUCAAGAAAAAGUGUCUGACCAGUUAGGAUUAACCACUACUCACUUCAUGAGAGAGAGGCUCUGAUGUAAUUAUUCUGCUACCAGUGCCUUGGUGGUGGAGCACAUACAUAGUCUUCAACCUCUGAUGCCACAUCCACCUGGCCAUUGAGCAAGUACCAUGUGUUAGGUUUCCUAGGGCUGCCAUAACAAAUUAUCCCAAACUGAGUAGCUUAAAUCAACAUAGUUUUCCUUUUAUAGUUAUGGAGGCCAGAAGUCUGAAAUCAUGGUGUUGGUAUGGUUGGUUCCUACUGGAGGGCCUUAAGGAAAAGUCUGUUCCACCCCUCAUCCCUGGAUUUUGGAGACUGCCAGAAACCCUUGGCACUCCUUGGCAUAACUUCAAUCUUUGCCUCCAUCUUAAAUGACCUUCUUCCCCGUGUGAAUUCGUAUCACAAAUCUCCCUCUUCUUUCUCUUUAAAGUAUACAAAUUAUUGAAAUUAGAGACCACCACUAAAUGUAGGAUGAUAUUAUCUAGACCUUCUUAAAUUAAUUGCAUCUACAAAGACUCUAUUUCCAAUUAAAGUUAUAUUUACAUGUACCAGGUCCUAGGAUUCAGUAAUAACUUUUUGUAAGACAUAAUUCCAUUCUAUACAGCAGUUGAAGAAAAGUGAUUGACUGAACCUGACUGACUACAACCAAAAGGUUUUUCUUUUCUCCCUGAAUAUUGAGAUAUUUUUCUGCUCUGAACACCCUUUGUUAUUCACAUGAGGCACAAAUAUCAUCAUAAUCUGUGCCUGUCUUAACAUGACCACCCAUAUACCUCAUCUGUACAUCUUUUUAAUAACAAUUCACCAACCUUUUUCUCUCCAAGUUCUGACCAUUUGGCCAAACCAUUAGCCAUGCUCCAUGAAUCAAUGUAAAUACAUUCAGUGUAGAUCCAUUCAUUGUAGAUUCAUCAUCUCUCAAUUAAAGUGUCAGUAAGAUGUACUGCUUUAAUUUCUGAUGUACUUUCUUUAAUCCCUUUGAGAGAAUUCCUUACUCUUUAUCUUUCAGGAAUUUCCUUAAGUAGAACUUUAAUGUUGCAAUAGUUCUCUUCUGGCUAGUGCCAGCAUAUUGUGGAGAAUGAUUAGUAAGCCCAGACCAAUAUUUUUCUCUUUCACUCAACUAGAUGUAAGAAACUUUCUGUGAUAGGGGUUGGUACACUAUGGUCCAUGGGCCAAAUCUAGCCCUCUGCCUGUUUUUAUAAAUAAAGUUUUAGGAAACCACAGUCAUAUUCAUUUGUUUACAUAUUGUCUAUGACUGCUUACACACUAUAAUGGCAAAAUUGAAUAGGUAUGAUCAAGACCAUAAGUCCACAAGCCUAAAAUAUUUAUUUAUCUAGCCCUUUACAGAAAAAGUUUGCAAACUUGUUCUAUGAAGUCUUAGAAGUCGGUUGAAAGAAAGUAAACGAUAUAGUUUUCAUAGUAGUCCAAGAUCACAUUCCAUUAUGCCUUCAAAACCUAUUCAUGGCCAAUUUUGUAUAUCUACUUCCACUUAGUGAUGAUAUACUGGUAUACUCACUGAGCUGAUGGGUCAGAUAAGUCCCAUCUUGAUCAUUUGGACCAAGUGGAGAGAAGCUUGCAUUGCAUAACAGAUCUGUUGCAAAUUUUAUCUUGCUUAGGCACCUCUUAAAACUAUUAAGCUUACGGGUUAUUUAGUAAUUGGAUAAGAGAAGCUCCCAUCAAUAGAGUAUAUGUUGUUUGUAAAACAUUAUGCCUUUUUGUUAGUGGUAGAUUGUACCACUAAGAAUGAAAUUCUUUUUCCAAUUUGUUCAUGUCUCAGAUUACUAUAUUAAAACAAACUUUACUAAAUUCCCAGAAUUUUCACAAAUAUGUCUUCCACACUGGGAAUUUUGUGUUUUGCCAAGUCAUUUAAGACAUUUCUUGCAAUGAAGUCUAAAUUAGGAGAAUGUUGUCAAUGCAGGGGACCAGUGGGUGUUUUUGUAAAGGCAAAAUGGUCAACAUGCGCAUGAUAUAGAUCAUGACAAAGAGUCAAAGAGCUGACAUAUGUCUGAGACAACACUCUGAGGCAUACAGUUGUCACUGUCAGAUGAUAUCAAACUCUUUCUUCUAGUCAUCACUAAACAGUGUUAGAAGAGCAUUUUUCAGCCCAAUAACUGUACCACAUGCCAGUGGCUGUGUUGAUUUGCUCCAAUUAAGAGCUCAAUCUGGAACAGAAGCUGCAAUUGGAGUAAACACCUGGUUAGGUUUAGGAUAAUGCAGUCAUUCUCCAGGACCCAUAGAACUUUUUAAUAAGUCAAAAAGUAAAUUAACUGAAGAUGUUACAGGAAUCACUACCUUGCAUCUUUCAAAUCUCUGAUAGUGGCACUACUUCCUGAAAUGACCCCAGAGAUGCAGUAUUACAUUUGAUUUUCUAUUUUGGUAGGUAUUGACAUUUCAGUAGCUUCUACUUGGUCUUUCAUAAUAAUAAACCUCACUGAACAGGUCAGGAAGCCAAUGUGGGGAUUUUACAGGUUGCCAAAAAUGUCUAUUUCAACCGUACUUUCAGGAACUGAUUGUCUGCAUAAUCACUGGGGCUAUCUUUGAGAAGGUCUUAGGCCCAAAUUCAGUUUAACACCUGACCUCUAUAAGCCCCUGUUUGGACUAUUGAACCACUGUGUUAUUUUAGGUCUCUGGGGAUUAAUGUCACAUCAGAGCCCUUGUUUAGUAAUCCUCAAAAGGUCUAGGUGUUUCCCUCUAUUUCUUCAAUUUCUUUAGCAAAGAUGAAGAUUUACAGUAUUACUUGUGACAGUAUUUCAAAGCAAUUUGAUUUUCCCUUCAAUAAAGUGGCUCUGGAUCUGUGUUAUUUUAGGUAUUGAGACUAGAUAAAAACCACUGUGACAACUCAAGUCAGAGUUCUGAGCACCAGAGCUAAAGUUUUAUUUUGAUGUUAUUUAGAUCAAGUAAUAUUUCAGUAGGCUCUUGAGACCUUUCCUUCCUAGGAACACCAUGCUUUCUUAGCCACUACCAAAACUCCUUGCAGGUGAAACAUUGUAAUUGCUCUCUGGUUUUGCUGCCAUUUUGUUAACUAUACCCCAGUUUGUAUAUGUGUUUUAAGUACUAUCAACAGGCCUCUUCUAUUCUAGGAUCCUAUUAUCCAAAUAUGGAUACAUUCUAAGGUUCUGGGGUUGGGGCUUCAAUAUAUAAAUUUGGGCAGGAAGGACAGAAUUCAGACAAUAAGUGUCAGGUAAGUGUAGCCAUAUCAAUAAAUUCAUCUCAGUGUAAGGUGAUUUCAUCCUCCUUGUUCUGGUACAAUCCUAUGUAAGUUUCUUAGUCUUUGCUGAUACAAAUUGUCAAAAUCUUGCAAAAUUUUUAGUGGCUAGAUUAUCUCCUCAAUGCUGAGACUUUAUAUUUGUUGUGCUGGGACUAUCUGAGGUAUCUGAUGCUAAUUAAAUGGAAAUGAAGGCUAGUGGGAUGACAAUUGAGGAAAAUGGGCAUCGUUAGAUAAGGUCAUUGAUGCUCUUCAAGCAAGAGAUGACUAAUUUCCUCAAAUAGAGAAGAAAGGGUUGCUCUUACAGUCAAGGGAGGCUCUGAUUCUAUGGGAGUUCAAAGUUCUCUAAUCCAUCAAAUCCACCUGAAUAUAAUUCUCAUUCUCACGGUCUCACUCCUUUACAGUCAUUGAUUUAAUAUCAGAGACAUCGAAAAGCUGAAUUCAACUUAUGUUGUAAUUCUAUAACCUACAUAAAAGUCUUUGUAUCCCCAGUGUAGUAGCUAUUCAGCAUCUCAAGAAGUCUUUCAUCAUUGACCCUGCUGAAGACAGUGGAAUAAAAAAACACCAAAAGUCUGGCUACUCAAAGUCUAGAUAUCUUGGUCCUAGAGAGAGUAUCACAUUACACAGAAACCACUCAAGGUUUUUAAAGGAGGCAGAAAUUUUUUUUUUUUUUUUUUUUUUUUUUUUUUGAGAUGGAGUCUUGCUCUGUCACCCAGACUGGAGUGCAGUGGCGCAAUCUCGGCUCACUAAAGGAGGCAGAAAUGUAAUCCAGGCUUCAUUUUUAGGUUAUUUUUCUGUUUCUGAAAUAAGAGAGAGAAUUCCAGAAUUUUAGAUUUAAAAAAAAUGUUAGGAGGGCUAAAGGAACAAGAGUUUGUGCAAAUCCUUGGAUUUAAGAAACAUGAGAAGUUAUAAUCAUCACUCCAUAGGAGUCCAAAGGUUCCCUCAGAGCUGAUAUUCCUCAAACUGCCAACUCUAUUCUUUCGCAGGAGCUGAGUGGCUCUCACUCAGCAUUGUCACUUCUGGAGCCAUUAUCUGCAACUGGCCUUGCUGGAGCUAUUGUUGCUGCUACCUCCUAAGGCAGACUGGCUUCUACCUUCCCUCUGCCUGGUAAUCUCAAUUGAGUGAUUCUCACAGUCUCUAGAAAUAUUCCUCCACAGCAUUUAUUUUUGUUGAUUUGUUUUCCCAACAGGGUUUUUCUAACCUAGAGAUACAUUUAAGGAGGUAAAAGUCAAGAGAAGUUUCUAAUACAUCUGAACACAGACAUCUGAGGUCUGUGGCCUCAUGGCUCCUCCCUUUACUGGGAUUCUGCCAGCUUCAACAACCAAUGAAGCCCCUUCCUCACUGCUACUCUCGAUUUACGUGACCAUCCCUCUUCUGUCCAUAAUUUUGUUGGUAGAUAGGUCAAUGUUACUGAUUAAACCACAGUCAAAUCACUGAUCCUAACAACCUAGUAGACCUUCUAUAUUCAAAUAUGAGUUAUCUAGCUUUUUUAUCUAACAAAUAGUGAUUUAAAAAUAGUAACACCUUUUUGAAAGGUGAUAGACCUCUAGCAAGACUAAUAAAGAAGAAAAGAGAGAAGAAUCAAAUAGACGCAAUAAAAAAUGAUAAAGGGGAUAUCACCACUGAUCCCACAGAAAUACAAACUACCAUCAGAGAAUACUAUAAACACCUCUAUGCAAAUAAACUAGAAAAUCUGGAAGAAAUGGAUAAAUUCCUCGACACACGCACUGUCCCAAGACUAAACCAGGAAGAAGUUGAAUCUCUGAAUAGACCAAUAACAGGCUCUGAAAUUGAGGCAAUAAUUAAUAGCUUACCAACAAAAAAAGUCCGGGACCAGACGGAUUCACAGCCGAAUUCUACCAGAGGUACAAGGAGGAGCUGGUACCAUUCCUUCUGAAACUAUUCCAAUCAAUAGAAAAAGAGGGAAUCCUCCCUAACUCAUUUUAUGAGGCCAGCAUCAUCCUGAUACCAAAGCCGGGCAGAGACACAACAAAAAAAGAGAAUUUUAGACCAAUUUCCCUGAUGAAAUCCUCAAUAAAAUACUGGCAAACCAAAUCCAACAGUACAUCAAAAAGCUUAUCCACCAUGAUCAAGUGGGCUUCAUCCCUGGGAUGCAAGGCUGGUUCAACAUACGCAAAUCAAUAAACGUAAUCCAGCAUAUAAACAGAACCACAGACAAAAACCACGUGAUUAUCUCAAUAGAUGCAGAAAAGGCCUUUGACAAAAUUCCACAGCCCUUCAUGCUAAAAACUCUCAAUAAAUUAGGUAUUGAUGGGACGUAUCUCAAAAUAAUAAGAGCUAUUUAUGACAAACCCACAGCCAAUAUCAUACUGAAUGGGCAAAAACUGGAAGCAUUCCCUUUGAAAACUGGCACAAGACAGAGAUGCCCUCUCUCACCACUCCUAUUCAAUGUAGUGUUGGAAGUUCUGGCCAGGGCAAUCAGGCAGGAGAAAGAAAUAAAGGGUAUUCAAUUAGGAAAAGAGGAAGUCAAAUUUUCCCUGUUUGAAGAUGACAUGAUUGUAUAUUUAGAAAGCCCCAUCAUCUCAGCCCAAAAUCUCCUUAAGCUGAUAAGCAACUUCAGCAAAGUCUCAGGAUACAAAAUCAAUGUGCAAAAUUCACAAGCAUUCUUAUACACCAAUAACAGACAAACAGAGAGCCAAAUCAUGAGUGAACUCCCAUUCACAAUUGCUUCAAAGAGAAUAAAAUACCUAAGAAUCCAACUUACAAGGGAUGUGAAGGACCUCUUCAAGG
rnacentral:lncRNA from 1 species